rnacentral:rRNA from 1 species
UACAGGGGGUGCAAACGUUGCUCGGAAUUACUGGGCGUAAAGCGCACGUAGGCGGCUUUGUAAGUUAGAGGUGAAAGCCCGGGGCUCAACUCCGGAAUUGCCUUUAAGACUGCAUCGCUAGAAUUGUGGAGAGGUAAGUGGAAUUCCGAGUGUAGAGGUGAAAUUCGUAGAUAUUCGGAAGAACACCAGUGGCGAAGGCGACUUACUGGACACAUAUUGACGCUGAGGUGCGAAAGCGUGGGGAGCAAACAGG